UACGAAGGGGGCUAGCGUUGCUCGGAAUCACUGGGCGUAAAGCGCACGUAGGCGGACUCUUAAGUCGGUGGUGAAAUCCUGGAGCUCAACUCCAGAACUGCCUUCGAUACUGGGAGUCUCGAGUCCGGGAGAGGUGAGUGGAACUGCGAGUGUAGAGGUGAAAUUCGUAGAUAUUCGCAAGAACACCAGUGGCGAAGGCGGCUCACUGGCCCGGUACUGACGCUGAGGUGCGAAAGCGUGGGGAGCAAACAGGAUUAGAAACCC
rnacentral:rRNA from 1 species